rnacentral:rRNA from 1 species
GACGAACGCUGGCGGCGUGCUUAACACAUGCAAGUCGAACGGAAAGGCCCUGCUUUUGUGGGGGGCUCGAGUGGCGAACGGGUGAGUAACACGUGAGUAACCUGCCCUUGACUUUGGGAUAACUUCAGGAAACUGGGGCUAAUACCGGAUAGGAGCUCCUGCUGCAUGGUGGGGGUUGGAAAGUUUCGGCGGUUGGGGAUGGACUCGCGGCUUAUCAGCUUGUUGGUGGGGUAGUGGCUUACCAAGGCUUUGACGGGUAGCCGGCGUGAGAGGGUGACCGGCCACAUUGGGACUGAGAUACGGCCCAGACUGCUACGGGAGGCAGCAGUGGGGAAUAUUGCACAAUGGGCGGAAGCCUGAUGCAGAAACGCCGCGUGCGGGAUGACGGCCUUCGGGUUGUAAACCGCUUUCGCCUGUGACGAAGCGUGAGUGACGGUAAUGGGUAAAGAAGCACCGGCUAACUACGUG